GACGAACGCUGGCGGCGUGCCUAAUACAUGCAAGUCGUGCGGACCUUGUUGAAAGCUUGCUUUUAAAAGGUUAGCGGCGGACGGGUGAGUAACACGUGGGCAACCUGCCUGUAAGACUGGGAUAACGCCGGGAAACCGGGGCUAAUACCAGAUCGUUUUUUCCUCCGCAUGGAGGAAAAAGGAAAGGCGGCUUCGGCUGCCACUUACAGAUGGGCCCGCGGCGCAUUAGCUAGUUGGCGGGGUAAUGGCCCACCAAGGCAACGACGCGUAGCCGACCUGAGAGGGUGAUCGGCCACAUUGGGACUGAGACACGGCCCAAACUCCUACGGGAGGCAGCAGUAGGGAAUCUUCCGCAAUGGACGAAAGUCUGACGGAGCAACGCCGCGUGAGUGAAGAAGGCCUUCGGGUCGUAAAACUCUGUUGCCGGGGAAGAACAAGUGCCGUUCGAACAGGGCGGCGCCUUGACGGUACCCGGCCAGAAAGCCACGGCUAACUACGUG
rnacentral:rRNA from 1 species